GAUGAACGCUGGCUACAGGCUUAACACAUGCAAGUCGAGGGGAAACGACGGGGAAGCUUGCUUCCCCGGGCGUCGACCGGCGCACGGGUGAGUAACGCGUAUCCAACCUGCCUCUGACUGAGGGAUAACCCGUCGAAAGUCGGCCUAAUACCUCAUGGUAUCGUCUGCGGGCAUCCAACGACGAUUAAAGAUUUCAUCGGUCAGGGAUGGGGAUGCGUCUGAUUAGCUUGUUGGCGGGGUAACGGCCCACCAAGGCUACGAUCAGUAGGGGUUCUGAGAGGAAGGUCCCCCACAUUGGAACUGAGACACGGUCCAAACUCCUACGGGAGGCAGCAGUGAGGAAUAUUGGUCAAUGGGCGAGAGCCUGAACCAGCCAAGUAGCGUGCAGGAAGACGGCCCUAUGGGUUGUAAACUGCUUUUAUGCGGGGAUAAAGUGAGGGACGUGUCCCUCAUUGCAGGUACCGCAUGAAUAAGGACCGGCUAAUUCCGUGCCAGCAGCCGCGGUAAUACGGAAGGUCCUGGCGUUAUCCGGAUUUAUUGGGUUUAAAGGGAGCGUAGGCCGUGGAUUAAGCGUGUUGUGAAAUGCAGGUGCUCAACGUCUGCACUGCAGCGCGAACUGGUCCACUUGAGUGUGCGCAACGCAGGCGGAAUUCGUCGUGUAGCGGUGAAAUGCUUAGAUAUGACGAAGAACUCCGAUUGCGAAGGCAGCUUGCGGGAGCACAACUGACGCUGAAGCUCGAAAGUGCGGGUAUCGAACAAG
rnacentral:rRNA from 1 species